UUGCUUCAGCAGCACAUAUACUGAAACUGCUGUGAUACACAGAAGAUUAGCAUGGCCCCUGUGCAAGGAUGACACACACAUUUGUGAAGUGUACCAUAUUUUU